GCCUGGGUGGCUCAGUCGGUUGAGCGUCCGACUUUGGCUCAGGUCAUGAUCUCAUGGUUUGUGAGUUCGAGCCCCGCAUCAGGCU
rnacentral:tRNA from 1 species